rnacentral:rRNA from 1 species
GACAGAGGGUGCAAACGUUGUUCGGAAUUACUGGGCGUAAAGCGCGUGUAGGCGGCCCAGCAAGUCGGAUGUGAAAGCCCUGGGCUUAACCUAGGAAGUGCAUUCGAAACUGCUGGGCUUGAGUUCUGGAGAGGAAGGCGGGAUUCUCGGUGUAGAGGUGAAAUUCGUAGAUAUCGAGAGGAACACCGGUGGCGAAGGCGGCCUUCUGGACAGUGACUGACGCUGAGACGCGAAAGCGUGGGGAGCAAACAGG